UACGUAGGCAGCAAGCGUUGUUCGGAAUUACUGGGCGUAAAGAGUGUGUAGGCGGUGCACUAAGUUUGGUGUGAAAUCUCCCGGCUCAACCGGGAGCCUGCAUUGAAUACUGGUGUGCUCGAGGGUGGGAGAGGUAAGCGGAAUUCCUGGUGUAGCGGUGAAAUGCGUAGAUAUCAGGAGGAACACCUGUGGUGUAGACAGCUUAGUGGACCAUUUCUGACGCUGAGACACGAAAGCGUGGGUAGCAAACGGG
rnacentral:rRNA from 1 species